rnacentral:rRNA from 1 species
UACGUAGGCAGCAAGCGUUGUUCGGAGUUACUGGGCGUAAAGGGUGCGUAGGCGGCUUUUUAAGUUUGGUGUGAAAUCUCCCGGCUCAACUGGGAGGGUGCGCCGAAUACUGAGAGGCUAGAGUGCGGGAGAGGAAAGUGGUAUUCCUGGUGUAGCGGUGAAAUGCGUAGAUAUCAGGAGGAACACCGGUGGUGUAAACGGCUUUCUGGACCGUAACUGACGCUGAGGCACGAAAGCGUGGGUAGCAAACAGG